rnacentral:lncRNA from 1 species
CAGCGUGGUCGGGCAUGUGGCGCCGAACGCUUAGGCGUCACACAGUGUAGUGUGGCGCCUAGGUGUCGGGCGCCACACAAAAAGAUCAGACGCGUGAAAUCUUUCUCCCGAGGGUUCAGUCUGUGAGUUCUUUAUCUUCACGGGUUAUUUUUGUCAAUUUUACCCCAUAUUUGAUGCCCAAUGGGCAUUUUCGUUUCUUCU